CAAUAUCGAUGGCGGGCAAGAUCUUCGAUUCACAAAAGGAAUCCAGACCAUCUGUUUAUUCAGCUAUACGCCCCUCCUCAUCGUUUUAUUCUUAUAACUAGCACAGAUCCGAUACUAAUGUAUGAGCGCCUGCCCAUAUUGCUGCUGAACAUGGUGACAACGCAGCCAUCUUCGAGUCAGUGUUGCAUUAACCCUGGCGCCGUCGGAAUAAUCGUUUCCUUAUUGUUUCAAAGUGUCAAGAUGGCUCGGGGACCGAAGAAACAUUUGGAGCGUAUGAACGCUUCAAAAAGAUGUUGGACCAGACCAGACCAGGUUAACUUUGCCCCGCGUACAUCCAUGGAUCCACACAAGCUUGUGAUUUUCUUUCGCAUCUGAAGUACGUCUUGACCACCACCGAUGUCACCAAGAUCUGUAACGUCACAUCUAGAUCGAUGGCAAGGUUCGCACUGACUUCAACUACCCGGUCGGAUUCAUGCGUUAGAUCGGCCGUGGAAGGUGCCGUUCAUCUUGAUUGGAUCCGAGCAUCCACCAGAACGAUUAUUGUCACCGGUGAUGGGCGUGUUCAAGCUCGACCACGAAGAUCUGUGCGUGACCAACUAUCAGAACGGAAGAUGAGCGGUUUGCAUGCGGGUAAUCGCUUUUUUAAAAAGUGAGAAGAAGACCUGUUUUGAAUGCUGAAAAUACAAAAAUCCGUUUAUAAUACCACUAUGAAAGUAAACUGAAAUAUGUAGAAGAAUACGAAAGCCCGCUUAGCCGAAGCGGUAUGCAAGCGAUGUUCAAUUUCCGAUCGAUUUAGGAUAGGGUGACGAUGGAUAUUAUCCGCAGGUUCAAUUCGUCAUGAAGGGAUUUUGUCGGCCAAACUACCUGAAACUUGGUCGUUUAAUUCAGCUUGGUUGGGAAGGAUUUGAGGCCUAGGUACUCUGAGUUCAACAGCUUUUAACCGUUAUGUGGCCGGCAAUUUUUUUGCUUUUUUCUACACCGUGUAUUUUAAAUGGGUGCUGGGUACCCGGGUACCCUGCCGGCCACAUAAGGGUUAAAAAUCCCCCAUGACGAAGAGAACAAAACUGCCAAGAUACGCAAUUUCCCCUAUUUUCAUAUCCCAGUUGGGACGAAAACAAUAAAGGAAGCAAUACAUAUUA